CCCGCUGAACUUAAGCAUAUCAAUAAGCGGAGGAAAAGAAACCAACAGGGAUUGCCUCAGUAACGGCGAGUGAAGCGGCAACAGCUCAAAUUUGAAAUCUGGCUCACGCCCGAGUUGUAAUUUGUAGAGGAUGCUUCGGGUGAAGCCGCGGUCCAAGUCCCUUGGAACAGGACGUCAUAGAGGGUGAGAACCCCGUACCUGGCCGCCGGUGCCCCCCGCUGUGAAGCUCCUUCGACGAGUCGAGUUGUUUGGGAAUGCAGCUCUAAAUUGGUGGUAAAUUCCAUCUAAAGCUAAAUACCGGCCAGAGACCGAUAGCGCACAAGUAGAGUGAUCGAAAGAUGAAAAGCACUUUGAAAAGAGAGUUAAAAAGUACGUGAAAUUGUUGAAAGGGAAGCGCUUGCGACCAGACUUGCCCUCGGUUGAUCAACCUGGUGUUCCUCACCGGUGCACUCUGCUGAGGUCAGGCCAGCAUCGGUUUGGGCGGUUGGAGAAAGGCCGUGGGAAUGUGACUUCCUUUGGGGAGUGUUAUAGCCCUCGGUGCCAUGCGACCAGCCUGGACUGAGGACCGCGCCUUUAGUGGCUAGGAUGCUGGCAUAAUGGUCGUGAGCGACCCGUCUUGAAACACGG
rnacentral:rRNA from 1 species